GACGAACGCUGGCGGCGUGCUUAACACAUGCAAGUCGAACGGAAAGGCCCUGCUUUUGUGGGGUGCUCGAGUGGCGAACGGGUGAGUAACACGUGAGUAACCUGCCCUUGACUUUGGGUUAACUUCAGGAAACUGGGGCUAAUCCCGGAUAGGAGCUCCUGCUGCAUGGUGGGGGUUGGAAAGUUUCGGCGGUUGGGGAUGGACUCGCGGCUUAUCAGCUUGUUGGUGGGGUAGUGGCUUACCAAGGCUUUGACGGGUAGCCGGCCUGAGAGGGUGACCGGCCACAUUGGGACUGAGAUACGGCCCAGACUCCUACGGGAGGCAGCAGUGGGGAAUAUUGCACAAUGGGCGGAAGCCUGAUGCAGCAACGCCGCGUGCGGGAUGACGGCCUUCGGGUUGUAAACCGCUUUCGCCUGUGACGAAGCGUGAGUGACGGUAAUGGGUAAAGAAGCACCGGCUAACUACGUG
rnacentral:rRNA from 1 species